UACGUAGGGUGCAAGCGUUAUCCGGAAUUAUUGGGCGUAAAGAGCUCGUAGGCGGUUUGUCGCGUCUGCUGUGAAAACCCGAGGCUCAACCUCGGGCCUGCAGUGGGUACGGGCAGACUAGAGUGCGGUAGGGGAGAUUGGAAUUCCUGGUGUAGCGGUGGAAUGCGCAGAUAUCAGGAGGAACACCAAUGGCGAAGGCAGGUCUCUGGGCCACAACUGACGCUGAGGAGCGAAAGCGUGGGGAGCGAACAGG
rnacentral:rRNA from 1 species